rnacentral:ncRNA from 1 species
UGAAAAAGGCAAACCACCCGUAAGGGUGGGGCGCAAAGCUACAGGACCAAUACGUUGGUCGGCUGAGCUGCCA